ACGCAUCCAGGGGGUGCCUCGACAAGAGGCUGAGAGGCUGCUGGCGGAUCCGAUCCGCAAGCGCAGCGACCCUUCCGGGGCGGAUUGUCCGCCAUCGGAGAACCUGAUCCGGUUCGUACCGGCGUAGGGAUUGGUGUGCCAGGCGAC
rnacentral:ncRNA from 1 species